GUGGGAAUAUUGGGCAAUGGGCGAAAGCCUGACCCAGCAAUGCCGCGUGAAUGAAGAAGGUCUUAGGAUUGUAAAAUUCUGUCCUAUGGGAAGAAACAAAUGACGGUACCAUAGGAGGAAGCCCCGGCUAACUACGUGCC
rnacentral:rRNA from 1 species